rnacentral:rRNA from 1 species
UGCCACUCUUAACGGGGUGGCUUUUCAGAAGUGUAAAAAGCCUCUGGAAUAAGGGCUGGGCAAGACCGGUGCCAGCCGCCGCGGUAACACCGGCAGCUCAAGUGGUAGCCGCUUUUAUUGGGCCUAAAGCGUCCGUAGCCGGUCUGAUAAGUCUCUGGUGAAAUCCCACAGCUUAACUGUGGGAAUUGCUGGAGAUACUAUCAUGACUCGAGGUCGGGAGAGGCUGGAGGUACUCCCAGGGUAGGGGUGAAAUCCUGUAAUCCUGGGAGGACCACCUGUGGCGAAGGCGUCCAGCUGGAACGAACCUGACGGUGAGGGACGAAAGCCAGGGGCGCGAACCGGAUUAGAUACCCGGGUAGUCCUGGCCGUAAACGAUGUGGACUUGGUGUUGAGAUGGCUUCGAGCUGCCCCAGUGCCGAAGGGAAGCUGUUAAGUCCACCGCCUGGGAAGUACGGCCGCA